GAUGAACGCUGGCGGCGUGCCUAAUACAUGCAAGUCGAGCGAACGGACGAGAAGCUUGCUUUUCUGAUGUUAGCGGCGGACGGGUGAGUAACACGUGGAUAACCUACCUAUAAGACUGGGAUAACUUCGGGACACCGGAUCUAAUACCGGAUAAUAUUUUGCACCGCAUGGUUCAUAAGUGAAUGACGGUCUUGCUGGCACUUAUAGAUGGAUCCGCGCUGCAUUAGCUAGUUGGUAAGUUAACGGCUUACCAAGGCAACGAUGCAUAGCCGACCUGAGAGGGGGAUCGGCCACAUGGGAACGGAGACAGGGUCCAGACUACUAAGGGAGGCAGCAGUAGGGUAUCUGCCGCAAUGGGCGAAAGUCUGACGGAGCAAGGGCGCGUGAGUGAUGAAGGCGUUCGGAUCGGAAAGCUCGGUUAUUAGGUAAGAACAGAUGUGUAAGUAAAUGUGCAGAUCGUGACGGUAACGAAUAAGAAAGCCACGGCUAACUACGUG
rnacentral:rRNA from 1 species